CUAAAACCUACUCACUCGCGCAGCGCCUCCCUCAGUCCCUCCCUCACCCCUAUUCUCAGAAUCUCCAUUCUCCUCCAUAGCGCCUCCCUCCCUCCAUCCGUAGAGUGGUAGACCGUAGUGCGUCCCUCCUCCUCCUCCAUCUGCGACGCUGUUCUUCUGCCCUGCCAUCCUUCUCAUGCAAUCCACGGCGGUGGCGCGUUCCUCGUCGCCAAGUCGCGAGUCCCUACCGCGGCGCUCUUCUCCGUCAAAGAAGCAGCAGCAGUUCUAUCACUAUCAACAGGAAUGGAAGAGUAAAGGACAUCAUUCUGAAGCGGAAGAUCGGAAAUGGGUCGUUCUCGGCGGUGUUGAGGGCGAGCACAGAGGCACCGACGAAGAGGUGGCAGUGAAACAGGUCUUCCUCUCCAAACUCAUCCCUCGCAUUAAGUCAUCGUUCCACUGCGAGCUCAAUUUCUUGUCCUCCGUCAACCACCCCAACAUCGUUCGCCUCCUUGAUUUCUUCCAGUAUGAUGGAUGUGCGUACUUGGUGUGGAGUUCUGUGCUGGAGGGAGCCUCGCUUCUUAUAUCCUAUCCCAUGGGAGAGUUCAACAAUAAACUGCCAGAAGAUUCAUGCAGCAGCUUGGUUCUGGUAUGAAAAUAUUACAAAGUCAUGGUAUCAUUCAUAGAGACUUGAAACCAAAGGUAAAGCUAAAAUGAAAAAUGUAUGUGACAUUGUUGCUACUUCGGUUUGAGAUGCCUAUUACUACAUUAACAUUUAUGUGAAGUAAAUACUUACUUCGGUUGGUGGAUUGUGAGGGCCAUUAGUAAAUACUUACUUUAGGAAAUGUUGUAUUGAGAGACAUUGGUGGAUAUAUUCAAGAAGAGGUGUGUUAUUAAUUGUAUGCAGUUAGAGCACCCCAUCAAUGAACAAGAGAUCAAGUAAGUCACUUUAGUAAUAAUAUCUUCUAAAUUCUCCCUCUUUUAAAUCCUUGUAGAUAUUAGUACGUAUUUCUUUUCAUGUAGCUCAACUCAAGAAUAGCAUAUACCGAACCUUACUCGAAUCAUAAGCUGUGCCCCCCUCUUUCCAAGAUUCAGGUAUCUAUGUAUGUUUUUUCUUCUUUCUUUUCUUUCUCCUUUUUUUUUUGAUAAUUGAAUAAGGCUCAACAUUCAAAGUGAAUGGAGCAAAUUUUACUAGUUUAUGAAACUAUAUCAAUUAUUGAGAAGGUAGGUGCCUAAAACUAUGACGAUCAUUUUGGAAUUUCGACCAGCCCAAAUGGAAAGUUCCUUGUGUUUUUAUCUGCAAAAAGUGCUGUGGAUUCAGGAGUGCACAAUGCUACAAACUCACUACAUAGAAUUGAUUGGCCAACCGAUGGAAAACUCACUGCAAACUGCAUCAUGAUAAGUGUAUAAGGUUGAUAUGGUUGUUGUUACCGAUGGGAGCAGAAUUUUGGGACUUGGAGAUUGGAGUUCAUGGAAAUGGCAAUCCAUUGGGAAGCUUGAUCUGUAUGUUGUAGCUGCUGGGAUAAAUCCUAAAGGAGUUUGCACCCUGGGAUGAUUCCGUCGCUGUGAAUGACAUUGUUGCUGGUCUAAAAGGAUUCAGAGAUGAUGAUGUGAAGUCAUUUUCUUCUGGUUUGAAUUCAGCUGAGACUCAGGCCAUGUAAUUGCAGUGCCAGUGUGGGAGAACCAUCAAGCAGUGCUGCACAGCACAGCAGCACAGGCAAGCAUUUCCUUUUGCUUUGUAACUUGGAACCUUUAGAUUCUAUUGUCCCUGGAUACCUUUUUUGGGUGGCUUGAGCAUAAUUGAACAGGCAACAGGCUUGAUAGCGGCAGGUAAGGAAUUGCAAGGACUUAGAGCUCUGACUCUAAAUAAAUUAUUGAGGGAUUCUGAAAAUUUUACUAUCCAAUACUGUACAAAAAAUGGAUUAUUGCUCAAGGUUGUCUCAUAGUCGGCUUCAUCAUGCUCUUUUUUAUCUUGUUUUAUCAUACUGUUUUUCCUAAUGGAUUAUUUUGAUCAUUUGAAGAUUGUAAUAACACUAGUUCGUAAUUUUGUAUCCCCAAUGUGAUUACAGAUAUUUCUAAAUGAUGUAAAAUUGUUUGACCUGCUGCUUGACUUUGUUUA